rnacentral:rRNA from 1 species
GAAUAUUAGUUCUUGACCUUGAAUGUAACAUCGGAGGGAGGAAUAUGGGGGGGGGACAGAGCUGUCGCUGGCCUUGUAAUGAGGCAUGUGCACGCUUCCCCCCCUGAGGACCUCUCGACGUCUUUCACUUUCAUAUUUCUCACCUGUGCACCUAAUGUAGGUCAGGACGUGGUUUUGGUAAAACAGAACCAUGCGAGCGCCUCUCUCUGCGGGGGGAGGUGAGCGCUUCUCUCUGCGGGGGGUAGUCGAGAACCUAUGAUACAAUCUUCGUGUAGAAAGUCCUUGAAUGUUUACGAUCAGAGAGCUGCGACUCGUAUGAGACGCGGGUCUUUGAGAUAAAAGUUAUUACAACUUUCAGCAAUGGAUCUCUUGGCUCUCGCAUCGAUGAAGAACGCAGCGAAAAGCGAUAUGUAAUGUGAAUUGCAGAUCUACAGUGAAUCAUCGAAUCUUUGAACGCACCUUGCGCUCCUUGGUAUUCCGAGGAGCAUGCCUGUUUGAGUGUCAGUUAAUUUAUCAACCCCUCUCGAUUAGCUUCGAGGGGGAGCUUGGAUAGUGGGGGUUGCCGGAGACUUGGGCGCUUUUUAAGUAAAGUACUCAGGAUUCGGGCUCUCCUGAAAUGCAUUGGCUUGCGGUCGACUUUCGACUAGUGUAUGAAAAGGCUUUCGGCGUGAUAAUGAUCGCCGUGUGCUGAAGUGCAUGAAUGAAGGUUGGGCGUGCCUCUAAUACCCAAUAGGUCGACCUAGGAUCUCUCUUCACUGAGAGAAACAUGGGUCUUCU